rnacentral:rRNA from 1 species
UACGGAGGGGGCUAGCGUUGUUCGGAAUUACUGGGCGUAAAGAGCUCGUAGGCGGUUUGUCGCGUCUGCUGUGAAAACCCGAGGCUCAACCUCGGGCCUGCAGUGGGUACGGGCAGACUAGAGUGCGGUAGGGGAGAUUGGAAUUCCUGGUGUAGCGGUGGAAUGCGCAGAUAUCAGGAGGAACACCGAUGGCGAAGGCAGAUCUCUGGGCCGUAACUGACGCUGAGGAGCGAAAGCAUGGGGAGCGAACAGG